rnacentral:rRNA from 1 species
GUGCCAGCAGCCGCGGUAAUACGGGGGGUGCGAGCGUUGUCCGGAAUCACUGGGCGUAAAGGGCGCGUAGGUGGCCUGAUAAGGGUGUGGUGAAAGUCCGGGGCUCAACCCCGGAUCUGCCGUGCCGACUGUUAGGCUAGAGUACUGUAGGGGCAGGCGGAAUUCCGGGUGUAGCGGUGGAAUGCGUAGAGAUCCGGAGGAAGACCGGUGGCGAAGGCGGCCUGCUGGGCAGUUACUGACACUGAGGCGCGACAGCGUGGGGAGCAAACAGGAUUAGAUACCCUGGUAGUCC